rnacentral:rRNA from 1 species
UUCGCCCUUAGAGUUUGAUCCUGGCUCAGGACGAACGCUGGCGGCGCGCCUAACACAUGCAAGUCGAACGAGCGAGAGAGAGCUUGCUUUCUCGAGCGAGUGGCGAACGGGUGAGUAACGCGUGAGGAACCUGCCUCAAAGAGGGGGACAACAGUUGGAAACGACUGCUAAUACCGCAUAAGCCCACGGGUCGGCAUCGACCAGAGGGAAAAGGAGCAAUCCGCUUUGAGAUGGCCUCGCGUCCGAUUAGCUAGUUGGUGAGGUAACGGCCCACCAAGGCGACGAUCGGUAGCCGGACUGAGAGGUUGAACGGCCACAUUGGGACUGAGACACGGCCCAGACUCCUACGGGAGGCAGCAGUGGGGGAUAUUGCGCAAUGGGGGAAACCCUGACGCAGCAACGCCGCGUGAAGGAUGAAGGUUUUCGGAUUGUAAACUUCUUUUAUUUAGGACGAAGAAUGACGGUACUAAAUGAAUAAGCUCCGGCUAACUACGUGCCAGCAGCCGCGGUAAAACGUAGGUCACAAGCGUUGUCCGGAAUUACUGGGUGUAAAGGGAGCGCAGGCGGGAAGACAAGUUGGAAGUGGAAUCUAUGGGCUCAACCCAUAAACUGCUUUCAAAACUGUUUUUCUUGAGUAGUGCAGAGGUAGGCGGAAUUCCCGGUGUAGCGGUGGAAUGCGUAGAUAUCGGGAGGAACACCAGUGGCGAAGGCGGCCUACUGGGCACCAACUGACGCUGAGGCUCGAAAGUGUGGGUAGCAAACAGGAUUAGAUACCCUGGUAGUCCACACCGUAAACGAUGAUUACUAGGUGUUGGAGGAUUGACCCCUUCAGUGCCGCAGUUAACACAAUAAGUAAUCCACCUGGGGAGUACGACCGCAAGGUUUGAAACUCAAAGGAAUUGACGGGGGCCCGCACAAGCAGUGGAGUAUGUGGUUUAAUUCGACGCAACGCGAAGAACCUUACCAAGUCUUGACAUCCCUUGACAGGCAUAGAAAUAUGUUUUCUCUUCGGAGCAAGGAGACAGGUGGUGCAUGGUUGUCGUCAGCUCGUGUCGUGAGAUGUUGGGUUAAGUCCCGCAACGAGCGCAACCCUUAUGGUCAGUUACUACGCAAGAGGACUCUGGCCAGACUGCCGUUGACAAAACGGAGGAAGGUGGGGAUGACGUCAAAUCAUCAUGCCCUUUAUGACUUGGGCUACACACGUACUACAAUGGCGUUAAACAAAGAGAAGCAAGACCGCGAGGUGGAGCAAAACUCAGGAACAACGUCCCAGUUCGGACUGCAGGCUGCAACUCGCCUGCACGAAGUCGGAAUUGCUAGUAAUCGUGGAUCAGCAUGCCACGGUGAAUACGUUCCCGGGCCUUGCACACACCGCCCGUCA